GGACCUGACUGCUAUCGGAUUCCUCCAAAGCCAUGCGAGUCAUUGUAGCAAUACAAGGCAUACGGCUCAGUAACGCGUAGUCAACCUAACCUAUGGACUCGAAUAACCUCGGGAAACUGAGAAUAAUGCCCGAUAGAACAUUAUACCUGGAAUGGUUUAUGUUCCAAAUGAUUUAUCGCCGUAGGAUGGGACUGCGGCCUAUCAGUUUGUUGGUGAGGUAAUGGCCCACCAAGACUAUUACAGGUACGGGCUCUGAGAGGAGUAGCCCGGAGAUGGGUACUGAGACACGGACCCAGGCCCUAUGGGGCGCAGCAGGCGAGAAAACUUUGCAAUGUGCGAAAGCACGACAAGGUUAAUCCGAGUGGUUUCUGCUAAAGAAACCUUUUGUCAGUCCUAGAAACACUGAUGAAUAAGGGGUGGGCAAGUUCUGGUGU
rnacentral:rRNA from 1 species